CCUCGUAUGUCCAUUUUUGCCGAUUUUGAGAUUUUACGAUGGAUACAAUGUCCAGGUUCAUUUCCGUAUACAGUAUGCGUCAUGUACCUAAGUGACCAAUGAAAAGUUGUGAAAUCAUGUCAUCUGAUUUUCAAGUAUAUCCAUUUGGUGUCAAAGCUGUCAAUCACGCCGCGUAUCUCCCGCUCUGUGGAGCCAUCUCAGCUGUCUCGUGUCAUCUCAUUAGCGUCUCUGGAAGCGCAUCAUCGGGUAGCUGAAUAACACUUUGAAGGAUGUCUUUCUCUGUUAAGGAGCUGUGUGAAAUGGUCAAUGUCAGCUAUGAUAGGGAACUUGAGGCGAACGUGAGGGUCAGCAAUGAGGAGGAAGAUUCAGUUGAAAGUGACGGUGGAGAUACAGCUGCCAAUGAGGAUUCUCUGGAAAGUGAUAAUGACAAUCUCACUGAAAGUGACAGUGAGGGUAAGUAUCUUAUUAUUCUCAUUCUCAGAUUAGGCUAAACUACAGCCUCCACCUCACAUUGGUUUGACAGACUAAAGCCCAUUACUAAUUACAAAUCUAGUGUAUUUAAUCAAUUAUGAGUCAAAAUGAAUGCAAUCUUAUAUCAGAAUGAUGUCAUAAGUGCAUUUGUUGUACUAAAUGUGUUCCUCUAUAUUGCUCUAAGACUCACUUGAACACGAUCCUGAAAAUGACCC